rnacentral:misc_RNA from 1 species
GAAAUGCGAUAAGUAGUGUGAAUUGCAGAAUUCAGUGAAUCAUCGAAUCUUUGAACGCACAUUGCGCCCUUUGGUAUUCCUUAGGGCAUGCCUGUUCGAGCGUCAUCUAAACCUUCAAGCCCUGCUUGGUGUUAGGUGCCUGUCCCGCCUCCGCGCGCGGACUCACCUCAAAUCCAUUGGCGGCCCCCGCGUCGGCCACGAGCGCAGCAGAAACGCGAACUCGUGAGCCCGUCCGGGCGGCUCCCAGAAGCUACACCCACCCAGUUUGACCUCGGAUCAGGUAGGGAUACCCGCUGAACUUAAGC